CAGCGUUAUCCGGAAUCAUUGGGCGUAAAGCGCCUGUAGGUUGUUUAAUAAGUCUGUUGUUAAAGACUGGGGCUUAACCCCAGGAAAGCAAUGGAAACUACUAGACUAGAGUAUGGUAGGGGUAAAGGGAAUUUCUAGUGUAGCGGUGAAAUGCGUAGAUAUUAGAAAGAACACCGGCGGCGAAAGCGCUUUACUGGACCAUUACUGACACUCAGAGGCGAAAGCUAGGGUAGCCAAAGGGAUUAGAUACCCCUGUAGUCCUAGCCGUAAACGAUGGGUACUAGAUGUUGCGCUUAUUGUGCAGUGUCGUAGCUAACGCGUUAAGUAUCCCGCCUGGGGAGUACGAUCGCAAGGUUGAAACUCAGAGGAAUUGACGGGGGCCCGCACAAGCGGUGGAGCAUGUGGUUUAAUUCGAUGCAACGCGAAGAACCUUACCAGGGCUUGACAUACUGCAAAUUUUCUUGAAAGAGAAAAGUGCCUUCGGGAAUGCAGAUACAGGUGGUGCAUGGCUGUCGUCAGCUCGUGUCGUGAGAUGUUGGGUUAAGUCCCGCAACGAGCGCAACCCUCGUUUUUAGUUGCCAUUUUAUGGGUUCUCUAGAAAGACUGCCGGUGACAAACCGGAGGAAGGUGGGGAUGACGUCAAGUCAGCAUGCCCCUUAUGCCCUGGGCUACACACGUGCUACAAUGGCUAAGACAAAGAGUCGCGAAUUCGCGAGAAUCAGCUAAUCUCAUAAACUUAGUCUAAGUUCAGAUUGUAGGCUGCAAC
rnacentral:rRNA from 1 species